rnacentral:rRNA from 1 species
UACGGAGGGUGUGAACGUUGCUCGGAAUCAUUGGGCGUAAAGCGCACGUAGGCUGCAAGGAAAGUUGGGUGUGAAAGCCCUGGGGCUCAACCCAGGAAGUGCAUUCAAAAACUACCUUGCUUGAAUCUCGGAGGGGGGUCAGAGAAUUCCCGGUGUAGAGGUGAAAUUCGUAGAUAUCGGGAGGAAUACCAGUGGCGAAGGCGCUGACCUGGACGAAGAUUGACGCUGAGGUGCGAAAGCGUGGGGGAGCAAACAGG